ensembl:lncRNA novel transcript
AGAGGGAGAAAGGUACAAGAGAGAGAAGGGAAGAGAGAGAGGGAGAUAGAGCGAAAAAGGAGGGUCCCCGACUUCCUCACAGGUAAUUAAAAGGACUGUUUUCAAGGUUGCAUGGGCAAAGACAAUUCGGCCCUAAUGAAGCAUCGAUCGACUGCAGUAAUGUAGAAAGGAGCUGACAUUCAUUCAAAGACCUCGGAAUGGGAAGGACUGAGUUUCAUCUUCAGCCCGUUGGUGGUCAUAUUUUCCUGCGGUGGCUGACACACUCAGGAGGCGUGGGAUAGAAGGUGACAGCUUCUGCUACUCGGUGUCCCUGCAGUUGCCAGCCUCCCAGGGACUCUGCUCACCUAGGAAGAAGAUGGAGAACAAUGGUCACUGUCAUCCCCAGAAGAGCUCCUCAUCUCCCUUAGUUGGGACAUCCUGCCAGUGCUUUCUCUACCAGGAUAACACCAGCCCUCUUCAACUGCAUUUUUCUCUACACACAACAUUCUCGUUUGCCAAGGUCAUUCCAUGGAACCAAUGUCCAGCGUCUUCUCUUUCCUUAGAUCCCACAGUCCAUACUCAACCUCCAUGUGAAGACAGAGAAUAUCCUUUUGAGUUGGAAGGGAUGUUGACUGACUUCAUCCAUUUAUUUUGUUCUCAUUCCGAGUCUGGAUUUGCCUGCGUCCCUUGUAGCUUAAGAGCCCUUUUAAUUAAGACAUGACUCACAGAUCAUCUUCAUGUCAACAGGCAACAAUAUUGUAUACCUUCGAAUUUUUCAAUAACGAGCCUUGAACAGAACAAACUCUUUGUUUCAGUGAAAAAUGCUAAUUGAAAGAUUUUUUUUUCUCAAAAGGACAUUGAACGUAAACCAAUGUACUAAGCAAAAUGUAGAUGAUGCCUCUCCUUUUAUCUGCUGUUCCUUCAAACAGAAAACAAAGUACCACCCCAACCAACCAACUCUUCUGGCAGGAAAAAGAAAGAGUCCUCAAAUUACGUUCUUCAACAAAGGGUCAGGAAGGAAAAGUGAAUGUCACAAACACCAUUCAAAGCACCGCAGAAAGUAGUCAGUUUGGUUUCUUUCAGAGGCUGGAAGAAAACGUCCUUCUCCCCCGUCUCCCUUUGUUUUUAAGUUACUAAAUUCCUUUACGUUUGUUUUCUUAGGAAAGUGACAUUAUAGGUCAUUAAGCAACUAUUAAAAACACAAGUGAGAAAACCCAAAGCGUGGGUCUUUUUCCUCUGAUAUUCUUUUCCCUGGUUUUCAGAAAACAGUUUUAAGAGUUGGAAUAUUUUUGUUAAUGUCUUUGUGGGCAUUUCCGUCAUCUUUCCAUUUGUAACAGCCCCUAAAUAAGGCAGCUAGGGGAAACCUGCCUUGUCUUAGCACACCUGCUAUGCCAAAACAGGAACAUGCAUUCCCCCACAAUGGGAUGGGUGAUUUGCCAAACAGACCAGAGCUCCCAAAUUACCUGCCUUUUUGCAGUGCUACACCCAAAAAUCAACCCGUUGACUGAUGAAAUCAACCCGUGUGGAACUUGAUUUUCGACGUCCUCUCUUCCUCCCACAGUUGGACAAGAAAGGGGAAGGAAAGAGAAAAGGGAGAAAAGCCCUCUUCCCACCGGGUAAGUCCAGGUGAGUCCCAUUCACCACCGUCAUUGCCAUUGUGCGAGGCUGCAGCAUGGAGCUGGCCCCCCUCUAGCCACAGGAUCGAGCUGGCUUCAGAGCUUCCGGGGUCUCAUCCUCUUGCAAAUUUCUUUGGUGGUGAAAUCUAUCAAAGGAAUCUCAAAACAGAUUACAUGGUAAAUUAUCGUCUCCAUUCUGGGCCACUCUCCAUGCCCCGCUGUCCGGCUCCGACAGACAGCCGUGGGUGAGCUGCCGGUGGAAAGCCUCCGAGAUAAGAAGAUUACAGAAUGUCAUGUGCCUCCGGCGACUCAACUUCACAGCUAAACUUCUCCAGCCCAGGCAGUUCAUCUGAUUCGCAUGGGUCACAGGCUGUUUCAAUUAAUGCCUCUCUAAUGAUUCAAGUGUGUGCCCUAAUGUGGAAGGGGAAUAGAGAGAAGUCAAGCCAGGGACCUUAGCAUGUCUGUCCUCUCCACCCUCUAUCUCAGAAUGCUCUUUCCCAAGCUGACUUAUAAGAAAGGAGAAAAUGGGAUGGGAAGGAAUAUAGAAUUCCUUUCAGACAGAA